CAGCAGCCGCGGUAAUACGUAGGGGGCUAGCGUUAUCCGGAUUUACUGGGCGUAAAGGGUGCGUAGGCGGUCUUUCAAGUCAGGAGUUAAAGGCUACGGCUCAACCGUAGUAAGCUCCUGAUACUGUCUGACUUGAGUGCAGGAGAGGAAAGCGGAAUUCCCAGUGUAGCGGUGAAAUGCGUAGAUAUUGGGAGGAACACCAGUAGCGAAG
rnacentral:rRNA from 1 species